UACAGAGGGGGCAAGCGUUGUUCGGAAUUACUGGGCGUAAAGGGCGCGUAGGCGGCCUUCUAAGUCGAACGUGAAAUCCCUGGGCUCAACCCAGGAACUGCGUCCGAUACUGGGAGGCUUGAAUCCGGGAGAGGGAUGCGGAAUUCCAGGUGUAGCGGUGAAAUGCGUAGAUAUCGGGAGGAACACCGGUGGCGAAGGCGGCUCUCUGGACCGUAACUGACGCUGAGACGCGAAAGCUAGGGGAGCAAACAGG
rnacentral:rRNA from 1 species